UACAGAGGUCCCAAGCGUUGUUCGGAUUCAUUGGGCGUAAAGGGUGUGUAGGUGGCGCCGUAAGUCGGGUGUGAAAUUUCGAGGCUUAACCUCGAAACUGCAUUCGAUACUGCGGUGCUUGAGGACUGGAGAGGAGACUGGAAUUCAUGGUGUAGCAGUGAAAUGCGUAGAGAUCAUGAGGAAGACCAGCGGCGAAGGCGGGUCUCUGGACAGUUCCUGACACUGAGACACGAAGGCCAGGGGAGCAAACGGG
rnacentral:rRNA from 1 species